rnacentral:lncRNA from 1 species
UUUUGUAUUAUCUACUAACAACAUCUCAUUUUAGUGAAUGCGAAUUGUAUACACCAAACCAAACAUAACAUCUCAUUUCUUUCUGAGGUUAACAUGCUAAUUUUGGUGAUAUAAGUCAUAUGAACAAAACUUCAGUUAGUUUUCAGUACUAAUCAAAGAAUAUUUGAAUAAGGCGUCACUUUUAUUAAAUAUAUGUGAAAUAACACUAAAAUCCUUGAGUACUUUUAAGUAUAUGAUUUCUUAUUUACACAUUUCAAUCAUAUUCAUGGAUCUGACUGUUCUCAGCUUCUGGUUAUCCUAAUUGAUAGAAGGUUUCCAUAUUUUCAAGAAAUCAAAUAUAUAUUUAUUUCCAUUCAUUCAAUAUAUUAAAAAUGUUAAACUUAAGAAAGUUUAUAAAAAUUUGACCAAACUAUCUUUAUGUAGAAUAGCAUAGCAAAUAAAACAGGAACAACAACCUGGAAGAAGUAAUAGAAAUCUUACUUGACAGAUUCCUGUGGCUAACUUGAAUUUUUCUGGAAACUGCCACUAUAAUGGUAGAUUUGUCAAUGUCGUUAUCUCAUAACACCACUGAGAAAUGUUUACAAGCAUCUGAUGAAUUUUAGGCUCACGUGUGUAAAUUAUGUGCACAUAAUGCAUUCCUGGUGUAAAAAUAAAAGUACAAAACAUGAUGUAAGAAAAUAUUACCAGAUGUUGAGACAAAGUGAACCAAACAUCCUCCUAUAUGAAUAUAGAAAUACAGGGCUAGGCAGAAAACAUAUUAUUUAAAGUAUUUAAUGUUUGUCCAUCCAGAGCCAGAACAUCCUAGUUAGGAAACAGACAUGCCUCUAUGAAAUGUAAAAUAUGUAUUUGAGACGAAAAGAGGUAGCAUAAACUACUUCAGCUGGCACAGAAAGAUUAAGGAAAGGCAAUUUAUUAUGGAGCUUUCAAUAUUUGUUAGACAUAGAAAGCUGGAUUAGGUAGAUAUUGACAUUCCUAUUUUGACUCUGCUUCAUGGUGGGCAGGUCUACGCAAACCUACCUUUAAGUCCAAAGAAGCCGAGAAAGAGGCCAAAGGGGCCGACAAAUCCAGUUUCUCAGGAAAAAACAUCUAAUAGGGACUUAAGAACAGAAGGCCUGGCUGUGUCUUGGGUGGUGGCAAGACAAGAUGGUGGAUCUCGGCCCCGUUAUGCCCUGGCCCUGGGUUUAGGUAGCGUAAGGAAGGGCUGGCUCAGAAAGAAUGUGUAGGACAAUUGAAGUAUGAUAACAUCAAGAUUGUUUGACCUAAGUGCAGGAUUAAUUGAACCCAAGUGCACUAAGUACCUGCCCUUACACAAGGAACAAUAGACAAAUGGGAAGUCUAAGAGGCCUUCCUGGAACUAGAGUUAAUCAGAAGCCAACAUGGCAGAUUAACAUCCAAGAUGGAGUUUCUUUGGCUUCCACAACUCAAACAAGCCAUACUGUAAAGAGGUGACAAGAAGUUCCAAAGGCAAAUAUCUCAUCUGAGAAGUUAGGCAUUAGUAGUUAAUAGUUGGUUAGAUUAUUAAAAUAAUUCAUAGACUUUUCUACUCACAACACCAAAACAGAGUACCAAGACAACGAAAUCUAACAUUUGCCAGUUGUUAGUGAUGUGCUUUCCUUCCAGCUUCAAUGUUCUUAUUGCAGUUUUGUUUUUCUAAUUUUUUCUUGUGUGUUGAUUGUACCCUGAGUACAGAAUUGGUGUACAAAUAUCACGGACAGUGGGAAAAACAAUGAAUGCUGCCUGCUUAAGUCACAAGGCCCAGAAUGAACCUUUAUUAAGUCCAAGGGUCAGCAUUUGCUCCUAUGUUGGUCCCAUUGCAGAAUGAAGGUGAAGAAAGAGGAGAUUAGGCCUCUUGAAAAGAGAAAAUCCCCAAAGAAGACUGUUUUAAAAAACAGAUACAUAUGAGUUAAAAACGAAAACAACAACAAACAACAACAAAAACAACAAACAACAACAAUAAAAACAAGUACUUCUCCAAUUAGUGAAAAUGGAAGUUUGAAAUCAAGCUCUGGAGGUUGAAAAGUUCAAUAUCAAGGCACUGGAAGAUUGGGCGUCUGGUGAAGGCCCACUUUCUGAUUCUUAGAGGGCCCAUCUUCUCCUCAUGUCUUCAAAAGGCAGGUAGGAUGUGGUAGAUUUUCAGUACCUCUUUUAUAUGGGUACUUAUCCCAUGCAUGAAUGCUCUGUCCAACCUAAUCACCUCCCAAAGGCAGCACUACCUCCUAAUAUCAUGGGGUUAGGAUUUCCACAUGUGAAUUUUGAGGGGGCAAAAACAUUCAGUCUAUAGCAUCACUGAUGUUUCCUCUCAGUAGUUUUCUAUACCCUGAACUCUGCUCUGCUCUUUAGCUAUAAAUUUC